rnacentral:rRNA from 1 species
ACUCAAAUGAAUUGACGGGGGCCCGCACAAGCGGUGGAGUAUGUGGUUUAAUUCGAAGCAACGCGCAGAACCUUACCAGCUCUUGACAUGUUAGGUAUGGGGAUCAGAGAUGAUCUUCUUCAGUUCGGCUGGCCUAAACACAGGUGCUGCAUGGCUGUCGUCAGCUCGUGUCGUGAGAUGUUGGGUUAAGUCCCGCAACGAGCGCAACCCUCGCCAUUAGUUGCCAUCAGGUAAAGCUGGGCACUUUAAUGGAACUGCCGGUGAUAAACCGGAGGAAGGUGGGGAUGACGUCAAGUCCUCAUGGCCCUUAUGGGCUGGGCUACACACGUACUACAAUGGUGGUGACAACGGGGAGCGAAGGAGAAAUCUGGAGCGAAUCCUCAAAAGCCACCUCAGUUCGGAUUGUCCUCUGCAACUCGAGGGCAUGAAGUCGGAAUCGCUAGUAAUCGCGGAUCAGCAUGCCGCGGUGAAUACGUUCACGGGCCUUGCACACACCGCCCGU